rnacentral:tRNA from 1 species
AGGAGGCGUGCCUGAACAAAAGGACCACUUUGAUAGAGUGAAUUAUGAGGGUUAAAGUCCCUCCCCUCCUU